rnacentral:rRNA from 1 species
GUAGGGAAUAUUGGACAAUGGGCGAAAGCCUGAUCCAGCAAUGCCGCGUGAGUGAUGAAGGCCUUAGGGUUGUAAAGCUCUUUUACCCGGGAUGAUAAUGACAGUACCGGGAGAAUAAGCUCCGGCUAACUCCGUGCCAGCAGCCGCGGUAAUACGGAGGGAGCUAGCGUUGUUCGGAAUUACUGGGCGUAAAGCGCACGUAGGCGGCUAUUCAAGUCAGAGGUGAAAGCCCGGGGCUCAACCCCGGAACUGCCUUUGAAACUAGAUAGCUUGAAUCCAGGAGAGGUGAGUGGAAUUCCGAGUGUAGAGGUGAAAUUCGUAGAUAUUCGGAAGAACACCAGUGGCGAAGGCGGCUCACUGGACUGGUAUUGACGCUGAGGUGCGAAAGCGUGGGGAGCAAACAGGAUUAGAAACCCCAGUAGUCC